rnacentral:rRNA from 1 species
AACCAGCUCUUCAAGUGGUCGGGAAUAUUAUUGGGCUUAAAGUGUCCGUAGCCGGUUUGAUAAGUUCCUGGUUAAAUCUGGUAGCUUAACUGUCAGUUGGCUAGGAAUACUAUCUUACUAGAGGGUGGGAAAGGUCUGGGGUACUCCAGGGGUAGCGGUGAAAUGCUAUAAUCCUUGGGGGACCACCAGUGGCGAAGGCGCCAGACUGGAACACGCCUGACGGUGAGGGACGAAAGCCAGGGGAGCGAACGGGAUUAGAUACCCCGGUAGUCCUGGCUGUAAACGAUGCGUGCUAGGUGUUGGUAGGGCUAGGAGCCGUAUCAGUGCCGUAGGGAAACUGUUAAGCGCGCCGCCUGGGAAGUACGCUCGCAAGGGUGAAACUUAAAGGAAUUGGCGGGGGAGCACCACAAGGGGUGAAGCCUGCGGUUC